rnacentral:lncRNA from 1 species
CGGCCGCUCCCCGCCGGCCUGCUCGGGCUCCUGGGAGGAGGAGAGACACAGGAGGCUGCUGGAGCGCCGGGACCAGGUGCCCUGGAGCCGGGAAACUCUGCGCAGGACGUGCCCGAACCAAGCCGUCCCGGUCUCCCUCGAAGGCUACUUUAAUCCCUCUGUCCCUAGGAGCAGCUCCAUCUGCCUCACUCCUGACUACGCACUAAGGCCCUUGGAUGCCCUUGCAGAGACGUUAGCAGGCGGUGGGAACCCAGGGCCUUCAAAAGGGAUCACACCUCUGGGCUGAAAAGGCCACCUCCAAGCCUGAAACCCUUUGAAAGGGAGGUCUCAGGCUCCCCGUGAAGCCCUUCGUGAAACUCAUGGACUCAGGGGGUUCAGUCUGAGCAGGGUUUCAGUCAGAGGAGAGGGAAUUCAAUCUGUUGAUUUGGGGAUGGAGAUUUCACCCAGGGCAAAGGCUGGAUCAYGUCACCUAAGCGUUACCAAAAUUGUCACAGCACCGCACAGAGCAAGAAAGCCUCGCUGGCUGACAGAAGCCUGUGUGUAAUAGCAACAGGGGGAAGGAGGGGAAAGAAAGGGAAAAGAGGAAAUAUCUGGUUUCGAUCAACUCCUUCUUAAAAAUAGAAGUCUGAUUGCUGUUGCCCAUUUCUGAUUCCCCAAGGGAGACCGGGAGAAAAAGACAGAUCUAUAAAUAGUUUUCAACACAGAGAAUCCUAUAGCAAAGUUGCUGAGAGAGAUCAAUAACAUGAUUCGAGGAGGGCUCCAAAUUACAUCUCAGGGGAGGGAGGUGCUGAACUGAAUUGAUAAAUGAGUUGCAAAUGCUGUGUGUGUUGUGUGUAUCUAAUUAACAGAGGGUGACUGGGAUCAAUAGCAACGAAGGAGCUGGUCUAAAAAUAGCGCUCCAGCAGGGACUGCAACCUGCGGGCAACAGCUUGGAUGAAAAUGUCCCCCGGAGUAAUUAACCUUUAGCUGGAAAGUGGUGGUUAGCCCGGGGUUGAAGCGUAUCCUGUGAGCAGCUGGGAAUGGAUGAGGUCUCCGUGG